rnacentral:rRNA from 1 species
CGUGAAUACGUUCCCGGGCCUUGUACACACCGCCCGUCACACCAUGAGAGUUGGGAAUACCCGAAGCCUGUGAGCUAACUUUAGAGGCAGCAGUCGAAGGUAGAAUCAAUGAUUGGGGUGAAGUCGUAACAAGGUAAC